GGGAACGCGCCCUUCGGUUCGGAAUAACUCAGGGAAACUUGAGCUAAUACCGGAUACGCCCUUUUGGGGAAAGGCUUGACUGCCGAAGGAUCGGCCCGCGUCUGAUUAGCUAGUUGGUGAGGUUACGGCUCACCAAGGCGACGAUCAGUAGCUGGUCUGAGAGGAUGAUCAGCCACACUGGGACUGAGACACGGCCCAGACUCCUACGGGAGGCAGCAGUGGGGAAUAUUGGACAAUGGGGGCAACCCUGAUCCAGCCAUGCCGCGUGAGUGAUGACGGCCUUAGGGUUGUAAAGCUCUUUUCUCCGGGACGAUAAUGACGGUACCGGAGGAAUAAGCCCCGGCUAACUUCGUGCCAGCAGCCGCGGUAAUACGAAGGGGGCUAGCGUUGCUCGGAAUCACUGGGCGUAAAGGGCGCGUAGGCGGCUGAUUUAGUCGAGGGUGAAAGCCCGUGGCUCAACCACGGAAUGGCCUUCGAUACUGGUUGGCUCGAGACCGGAAGAGGACAGCGGAACUGCGAGU
rnacentral:rRNA from 1 species